AUCACUUCUCAGCCUUUUGGCUAAGAUGAAGUGUAGUAACCGCUUUGUUUCAGUCUCAGUGUCUUAUAAUCAUUUUUUGCAACUAUAUUAAGAGAAACCGUUUACUAGUUUAGAUUCCACCUUUAUAGUAUCCUGGGAGGACUACAU
rnacentral:snRNA from 1 species